CCCUUAGAUGUUCUGGGCCGCACGCGCGCUACACUGAUGAAUUCAACGAGCACUAACCUGUGUAGAAAUGUUCGGGUAAUCUUGUGAAAUUUCAUCGUGAUGGGGAUUGAUUAUUGCAAUUAUUAAUCAUAAACGAGGAAUGCCUAGUAAGCGUGAGUCAUCAGCUCACGUUGAUUACGUCCCUGCCCUUUGUACACACCGCCCGUCGCUCCUACCGAUUGAAUGUGCUGGUGAAAAGUUCGGAUUGGGAAUAGGAGACGGCAACGUAUCCUGUUUCUGAGAAAAUCUUUAAACCCUCCCAUUUAGAGGAAGGAGAAGUCGUAACA
rnacentral:rRNA from 1 species